GAUGAAGAACGUAGCGAAAUGCGAUAAGUAAUGUGAAUUGCAGAAUUCAGUGAAUCAUCGAAUCUUUGAACGCACCUUGCGCCCUUUGGCUAUUCCGAAGGGCAUGCCUGUUUGAGUAUCAUGAACACCUCAACUCUCAUGGCUUGCUGUGAUGAGCUUGGAAUUUGGGGGUCUUGUUGGCUUGUGAGCCAGCUCCUCCUAAAUGAAUUAGCUUGCCGGUGUUUGGUGGCAUCACAGGUGUGAUAACUAUCUACUCUUGUGGUUUCCCAUCAGGUAACCUCCAGUGAUGGAGGUUCGCUGGGGCUCAUAAAUGUCUCUCCUCAGUGAGGACAGAUUUUGACUGUUUGAUCUCAAAUCAGGUAGGACUACCCGCUGAACUUAAGCAUAUCAAUAAGCUGAGGA
rnacentral:misc_RNA from 1 species